GACGAACGCUGGCGGCGUGCUUAACACAUGCAAGUCGAACGGAAAGGCCCUGCUUGCAGGGUACUCGAGUGGCGAACGGGUGAGUAACACGUGGGUGAUCUGCCCUGCACUUCGGGAUAAGCUUGGGAAACUGGGUCUAAUACCGGAUAGGAGCCAUCUUUAGUGUGGUGGUUGGAAAGUUUUUUCGGUGUAGGAUGAGCUCGCGGCCUAUCAGCUUGUUGGUGGGGUAAUGGCCUACCAAGGCGGCGACGGGUAGCCGGCCUGAGAGGGUGUACGGCCACAUUGGGACUGAGAUACGGCCCAGACUCCUACGGGAGGCAGCAGUGGGGAAUAUUGCACAAUGGGCGCAAGCCUGAUGCAGCGACGCCGCGGGGGGGAUGAAGGCCUUCGGGUUGUAAACGCCUUUCGCUAGGGACGAAGCUUUUUGUGACGGUACCUAGAGAAGAAGCACCGGCUAACUACGUG
rnacentral:rRNA from 1 species